CCUACGGGGGACAGCAGUGGGGAAUAUUGGGCAAUGGAGGAAACUCUGACCCAGCAACGCCGCGUGAAUGAUGAAGGUCUUCGGAUCGUAAAGUUCUUUUCUAAGGGAAGAAGAAAGUGACGGUACCUUAGGAAUAAGCCUCGGCAAACCACGUGCCAGCAGCCGCGGUAAUACGUAGGAGGCGAGCGUUAUCCGGAUUUAUUGGGUUUAAAGGGGGCGCAGGGGGAAGAUCAAGUCAGCGGUAAAAUUGAGAGGCUCAACCUCUUCGAGCCGUUGAAACUGGUUGUCUUGAGUGAGCGAGAGGUAUGCGGAAUGCGUGGUGUAGCGGUGAAAUGCAUAGAUAUCACGCAGAACUCCGAUUGCGAAGGCAGCAUACCGGCGCUCAACUGACGCUCAUGCACGAAAGUGUGGGUAUCGAACAGGAUUAGAUACCCUGGUAGUC
rnacentral:rRNA from 1 species